rnacentral:rRNA from 1 species
GACGAACGCUGGCGGUGUGCUUAACACAUGCAAGUCGAACGGUAAGGCCCUUUCGGGGGUACACGAGUGGCGAACGGGUGAGUAACACGUGAGUAACCUGCCCUCAUCUCUGGGAUAACAGUCGGAAACGGUUGCUAAUACUGGAUAUGAGCUUGCAAGGCAUCUUGUGGGUUGGAAAGAUUUUUUUGGUUGGGGAUGGACUCGCGGCCUAUCAGCUUGUUGGUGAGGUAGUGGCUCACCAAGGCUUCGACGGGUAGCCGGCCUGAGAGGGCGACCGGCCACAUUGGGACUGAGAUACGGCCCAAACUCCUACGGGAGGCAGCAGUGGGGAAGAUUGCACAAUGGACGGAAGUCUGAUGCAGCAACGCCGCGUGCGGGAUGACGGCCUUCGGGUUGUAAACCGCUUUCAAUUGUGACGAAGCUUUUUGUGACGGUAGCAGUAGAAGAAGCACCGGCUAACUACGUG